UACGGAGGGUGCGAGCGUUGUCCGGAAUCACUGGGCGUAAAGGGCGCGUAGGCGGCUCAUGAAGGCUGUGGUGAAAGUCCGGGGCUCAACCUCGGAUCGGCCGUGGCGACUCGUGGGCUGGAGCACUGUAGAGGCGGGUGGAAUUCCGGGUGUAGCGGUGGAAUGCGUAGAGAUCCGGAAGAACACCGGUGGCGAAGGCGGUUAGCUGGGCAGUUGCUGACACUGAGGCGCGACAGCGUGGGGAGCAAACAGG
rnacentral:rRNA from 1 species